CAGGGUAGGGGUUCAGAAGUCAGUGUUCUUGGGGUGUCUCUACCAGGGCCUGGGCUCAGGUCCUCCUCACCUUCCUUACUCAAGGCAUUCUUGA
rnacentral:pre_miRNA from 1 species